GAUGAACGCUGGCGGCGUGCCUAAUACAUGCAAGUCGAGCGAACGGACGAGAAGCUUGCUUUUCUGAUGUUAGCGGCGGACGGGUGAGUAACACGUGGAUAACCUACCUAUAAGACUGGGAUAACUUCGGGAAACCGGAGCUAAUACCGGAUAAUAUUUUGAACCGCAUGGUUCAAAAGUGAAAGACGGUCUUGCUGUCACUUAUAGAUGGAUCCGCGCUGCAUUAGCUAGUUGGUAAGGUAACGGCUUACCAAGGCAACGAUGCAUAGCCGACCUGAGAGGGUGAUCGGCCACACUGGAACUGAGACGCGGUCCAGACUCCUACGGGAGGCAGCAGUAGGGAAUCUUCCGCAAUGGGCGAAAGCCUGACGGAGCAGCGCCGCGUGAGUGAUGAAGGUCUUCGGAUCGUAAAACUCUGUUAUUAGGGAAGAACAUAUGUGUAAGUAACUGUGCACAUCUUGACGGUACCUAAUCAGAAAGCCACGGCUAACUACGUG
rnacentral:rRNA from 1 species